UCAUUGUUGUGAACAGAAAUGAAAUGCGUAAGGUGGAAAAGGAGAGGAAAAUGAGAAAGAAGAAGAAGAAGAGAGAAAGGAGUUGUGCAACAGCCUUCCUGUUGCUGUACACAACUACAGCUAUUGAUGUUCAGCCAUGGAUGUAGCUGAAUGAGAGUGCAUGCAAGUGUUAUGUACUCUCCACUUCAAUAAGGUGCUGCCUUGGUCUUGUUCAGCUGAAGAAUUGGAGAAAAGGAUGGCCGACUGAGCUGCUUGCAACAAGAGAGUACAAAGGUUUUGAAGUUGAACCAAAGAAGAUCAGGAGAUUGGUUGCAGAUGAAGUCGUGGACAGGGAGUGAUUAUAGACCAGGACUUUAGUACUUUGUGCUGUAUAUUGUAAAUUAAGUGUAAAUGGUAUUAUGAAUUUUGUUGUAACCUGUGGAGAAUUAUUAAUGGGCCUGUAAUAUUAUAAAGUUAUCAUUGUAGCUGAUCACCACAUGUACAUUAUGGUCUUUAUGGAAUUUUACAUAUACUCUAAUUUUACAA